AUACGGAGGAUGCAAGCGUUAUCCGGAUUUACUGGGCGUAAAGGGCGUGUAGGCGGUUUAGCAAGUCAGAAGUGAAAUUCCCGGGCUUAACUUGGGCCCUGCUUAUGAAACUGCUUUACUUGAGUGCUGGCGAGGCUAGGGGAAUUCCUCGUGGAGCGGUAAAAUGCGCAGAUAUUAGGAGGAACACCGGUGGCGAAGGCGGCUAUCUGGACAGUAACUGACGCUGAGGCGCGAAAGCACGGGGAGCAAACAGGAUUAGAUACCCUGGUAGUCCGUGCCGUAAACGAUGAAUACUAGGUGUAGGGGGUAUCGACUCCCUCUGUGCCGCAGUUAACACAUUAAGUAUUCCACCUGGGGAGUACGGCCGCAAGGUUGAAACUCAAAUGAAUUGGCGGGG
rnacentral:rRNA from 1 species